rnacentral:rRNA from 1 species
UACGGAGGGGGCUAGCGUUGUUCGGAAUUACUGGGCGUAAAGCGCACGUAGGCGGCUUUGUAAGUUAGAGGUGAAAGCCCAGGGCUCAACCCUGGAAUUGCCUUUAAGACUGCAUCGCUUGAACAUCGGAGAGGUAAGUGGAAUUCCGAGUGUAGAGGUGAAAUUCGUAGAUAUUCGGAAGAACACCAGUGGCGAAGGCGGCUCACUGGUCCGGUUCUGACGCUGAGGCGCGAAAGCGUGGGGAGCAAACAGG